ensembl:lncRNA
CCCGCACAACCUGAUGCUGCCACCCCGUGCUUCAAGGUCACAGCUGUUGACUGCUGAUCCGAAGUUGGAUGGGUCUUCAAUGAAAUGAAGACAGGAAACAGAAACAAUGACGCCUGGGGAAGGAACCAAAGGGAGUGACAUAUAUAGGGCAGGUAAUCAAGGAGGAUGAUGGAGUCCAGGACCUCAGACUGGAGCGAAGAUUCUCCUUCCAACAGGACAACGACUAUAAGCACACAGCCAAGACAUCGCAGGAAUGGCUUCGGGACAAGUCUCCGAAUGUCCUUGAGUGGCCCAGGCAGAGCCCGGGCUUGAACCCGAUCUAACAUAUCUGGAGUGACCUGAAAAUAGCUGUGCAGCAACGCUCCCCAUCCAACCUGACAGAGCUUGAGUGGAUCUGCAGAGAAGAUUGGGAGAAAAUCCCCAAAUACAGGUGUGUCAAGCUUGUAGCAUCCUACCCAAGAAGACUCAAGGCUGUAAUCGCUGCCAAAGGUGCUUCAACAAGGUACUAAGUAUAGGGUCUGAAUACUUACAUAAAUGUGAUAUUUACGUUUUUUACAUUUUAAAUAAAUGUGCAAAAAUGUCUAAAAACCUGUUUUUACUUUGUCAGUAUUGUGUGUAGAUUGAUGAGGGGGGAAAUCAUACAUUUUAGAAUAAGGCUGUAACGUAACAAAAUGUGGAAAAAGUCAAGGGUUGUUCUUUCAUGAAUGUCAAGCCUUUUGACGACGACGAUGUAUGGAGAAUCUUUGCAACAGAAUACUUCAGACGAGCAGUCUCCAACACGCUUUGUGCAUGUUGUCCACGUAAGGAAAGAUGGAUAUGUGGUUGAUUUGUAUGAGAGGGAAAACAACACAUCACAGAGCUCCUGACCACAACCAAGCAUGUAUAAUUCUGGAAAUACACUCCCUCUGAGCAUGUGAUACUUAAGAGCGAGAUGGAGAAGAAAAUGAUGAAACAGAAGUUCUGUAGAAAAGGACAAGUUAGUGGAAAUGGAUUAAGCACGAGUGGAGUCACCAGGAACUCUCCCGAAGAUAUGUGGGACAUUUCUGAAUCGGAUGGCUGUGUAAAGAAACAUGAAAGCCCAAAGUCAAGAACCCCAAAAGACAAGAAUCCGACUGUGAAAUUCAAAGCACUGACAUUCGGAGGUGAGAUAGCUGUGCAAUGCGCUCACGUCAACACACCCUCAGAUUGUUGGUGCCAGCUGAAAAGCAAGAUCCCCAACUUGGAGGAAAUUAUGGAAGCGAUCCAGGAGCAUUACCAUACACACACUAUUCCCGUGCAGGCAGGUGUUUCAUGUUGUUGCCAAGUCUGAAGAUGACGGCAGAUGGUACAGAGCCUGCAUUGUCGGGGCACAGUAAGACGAAGUUGAAGUGAUAUUUGUGGACAACGGGAUAGUAGCAAAAGAGUGUGCACGAUCUUCAAGCAAUAGUGUCAGAAUUCCUUGAUCUUGAGGGGCAAGCGUUUAGACUUUACAAGCGUUUAGCCUUUACAACUUGAUUGAGCCUGCAAAAGGCAGCGGUGAUGAUUGAUGCACAGAGGCAUGAGAUUUACUGAAGGACAUCACUCAAAGCCACUCAGGGAAUUUGACAUGUAGUGCACACUUUCAACUGUAUGUAAAAAAACAAUGUUGUUGACCUCCAGAACACUCAACAGAAUGCAACAAAGAAGCUUGCGGAAAAAGGUCUUGCAAGAGAAGGGCAAACCUCUAUGCAGCUUAUAUAAUCAAUAUGCCCAGACUCUUUUGUCCAUUCCUCCUUCAACAUGAGAUGCAGAAGUGAAAAGCAAGUCUGUGUCACUCAUGUGUACAGGCCAUGUGAGAUGUAUUGCCAGUUGGACAGAAAUACUGAAAUGAUUGAAGACUUGAUGUAGAAAGUCACCAUGGAAAGUGAAGAAAUUCUGCGUGCCAACUCUGGUCCUGGUAUUGGAAAACUUUGCCUGGCGUAAUAUUAUGGUAAUGGCAAAUGGUACAGGGAUGUGGCUUGCCCUGUUCAGUCUACUCUGCUUCUAAACAUGUUUUGGCUGUGGACUAUGGAAACAUAUAUAUCGUUGAAAAAACUAAAACUAUUUAAUGUCUAUUCCCAGACAUUCAGCAGAUUUACUGUUCACUCCCAUCCUGGCAUUGAUAUGCAGUUGAACAAAUCCUGAAAAAGGACAACUUUGCAGAGGUCAACAAAUGGCUGGAGAAAUCCAUCCUCCACUAGCCACUUCAAGCUGUUGUUGCAGGAAAGAAUGAGGAUGGGACUGUCUCUUUCGAUCUGUUUGAUGGAGACAUAAACAUCAAUGAGAACGUCAAAACCGCUCAUUGCUAAUCAAAAACACAAGGAGAAGAAAAGCAACAGUGGACCUGUGACUGGUCAUGAAGGACACAAAGAGCAAUUGAAGAACAAAACUUGAUAAAAAACUAGACAGACAUCAUCUGAAAGUGUGUUACUGGCCACAACAAGCACCAACAUCAAAAGAAGCAGUCUUUAAAUGCUCAAAAAGCAAACCCACCAAAGUGUCCUGAUGCCCAGUAAGAUUAGAGAGAGCACAGUGAAAAAAAUCACAUAGUUCAAAUGUGAGGAAAGGACAGAAGGAAAAACAGAUCAAAGUGAUGUAGACAGUUCCUCCAAACUCCCAGAAAUAGUUUGCUCCAUCCAAUUGCCAAAACUUGCACAACUCCCCCUUAUUCCAAAAAUAAAAUCUGGGUUCCGAGAUCUGGGGUUUGUUUCCCACAUCAAAUACCGUAAACAGCUUUUUUUGAAUCCAAAUGCAAAAUGAUGAACAAUCCAUUCUGAAAAUGGAUUGAGCUGUUUAACGCUGAGCUGUUUAAAGAAACCAUGGAGAACCAUGUUGCUGCUGAAUAUGAAGAGGAUGGUGUACUCUACUGUGCAGUUGUAACAGAUAAUGCAUCAAAUGGCCAUUUCAUGGUGGAGGUUGUUGACUAUGGAAAUUCAGACAAAACAUACACUCAUACACUCUGACAAGUGAGGAGAAUGUCAAAGGACUUCAACGCUUGGCAAAAUUAACAAAAGUCGACCAGUGGCACAAGGCAGUUGUACGGCAUGCAUCUAUUUACCUACAGAGGACAUCUCAAUGGGUUGAUGAAUGGAGUGUUCAUCAUCCAGCAAAUGGAGGCUGCAAUUUCUGAAUGUGCUGAAGACCCCCCCGAAAGGUAAUAUGACAAGAGUGUGAUGAGGAACAAAGGACAAAGCUAUUCCUGAUCACCUUUUAAGCAUGACUUAAGUUAUCUAAAUUAAGAUUUCAGUAUGACAACAUCUUCUUGGAGUGUAUUUGAAAGAAGAUCAAUGGUGUUGCUUUCUGACUGGCACAGUUUAGUCUUGAUAUUUAUGUAUCAUAAAUAACUGAAGUGGAAUGUCCUUUUGUUUGAAUGAUAUUGUGCCUCUUGCUUAUUGAACAAAAAUACUAUUGGGAUAUUCAGGCAAACUGCUAAAAUGUUAUGACUAUACUGAUAUUCAAGUUAGUAAUUUGAUAGACCUAAUUUUUUCUUUGGUUUU